rnacentral:rRNA from 1 species
UACCAGCUCCCUGAGUGGUAGGGAUGAUUAUUUGGCCUAAAGCGUCCGUAGCCGGCUUGGUAAGUCUUUCGUCAAAUCCAACGACUCAAUCGUUGGACCGCGGAAGAUACUGCCAGGCUAGAGGACGGGAGAGGUUGACGGUAGUCCCAGGGUAGGGGUGAAAUCCAAUAAUCCUGGGAGGACCACCAGUGGCGUAGGCGGUCAACAAGAACGUGCCUGACGGUGAUGGACGAAAGCUGGGGGAGCGAACCGGAUUAGACACCCGGGUAGUCCCAGCUGUAAACGAUGCGAGCUAGGUGUUAGGGCAGCUACGAGCUGCUCUAGUGCCGCAGAGAAGUCGUUAAGCUCGCCGCCUGGGGAGUACGAUCGCAAGAUUGAAACUUAAAGGAAUUGGCGGGGGAGCACCACAAGGGGUGAAGCCUGCGGUUC